rnacentral:lncRNA from 1 species
GUCAAAUGUCCCUUUGUAUAUUCUACAAAAAAAGUAUUCCUAACCUGCUGAAUGAACACAAAGGUUUAAAUUUGUGAGAUGGAUUCACACAUUGCGAAGCAUUUUCACGGAUAACUUUUUCCUAGUUUGUAUUGUGAGAUAAUCGAUUUUUCAGUAUAACCCUCAAUUUGCUCCAAAAUGUACCUUUGUAGAUUGUAGAAAAAGAGUGUUUCCAACCUGCUGAAUGACAAGAAAGGUUAAACUCUGUGAGAUAAAGUCACACAUCACAAAGCAUUUUUAGUCAUAGCUUCUUUGUAGUUUUUAUUGCAGGACAUUUGCUGCUGAAUCAAAACAAACGUUUAACUCAGUGAGAUAAAUCCACACAUCACAAAGCAUUUUCAUGGAUAGCUUGCUUCUAGUUUUUAUUGCGGGAUAUUUGAUUUUUCACUAUAGGCCUGAAUGGGGUCUGAAAUGUUGCUUUGCAGAUUCUACAAAAAGAGUGUUUCCAACCUGCUGAAUCAAAACAGAGGUUUAACUCUUUGAGAUGAAUCCACACAUUGCAAAACAUUUUUACAGAUAGUUUGUUUUAGUUUUUAUGACAGGAUAUUUUGUUUUUCACUAUAGGAAUGAAUGGGCUCAAUAAUGUCCCCUUAGAUUGUACUAAAAAAUUGUUUCCAAACUGCUCUAUAAAAGCAAAGGUUUAACUCUGUGAGAUGAAUCCACACAUCACAAAGCAUUUUCACAGACAGUUUGUUUCUAGUUUUUAUCACAGGAUAUUCAGCUUUUCACUAUAAGCCUCAAAGGGCUCCGAAAUGUUCCUUCAUAGAUUCUACGAAGAGAGUAUUUCUAACCUGCUGAAUCAAAACAAACAUUUAACUCAUUGAGAUGAAUCCACACAUUGCAAAGCAUUUUCACAGAUUGAUUGUAGUUUUAUCACAAGAUACUCGGUUUUUCACUUUAGGCCUCACGAAGUAGACUGUCACGAAGUAGACUGUAAAAAAUAAGUGUCUCCAGCCUGCUGAAUAAAACCCAAAAUUUAACUCUGUGAGAUGCAAACAUAUAUUGCAAAGCAUAUUUACAGAUAGCCUGUUUCUAGUUUUAAUUGUGGGAUAUUGAGUUUUUCACCACAGGCCUUAAUGGACUCAAAAAAGACUCCUCUUAGAUUCUACUAAAUAUGUGUUUCCAACCUGUGUAUAAUAACAAAUAUUUAACUCUGUGAAAAAGAUCCAUUUAUAGCAAAGCUUUUUCACAAAUAGCUUGUUUCUAGUUUUUAUUGCAGAAUAUUCGAUGUUUCUCUGUAGGCCUUCAGUGUUCCUUCAUAGAUUUUACAAAAAGAAUCUUUACAACCUGCUGAAUCAAAACAAAGGUUUAACUCUGUGAGAUGAACCCACACAUCACAAAGCAUUUUCACAGAUAGCUUGUUUCUAUUUCUUAUCAGUUUUUAUUAAGAGGCUUCAAUGGGCUCUGAAAUUUUCCCUCAUAAACUCUAUUAAAAGAGUGUUUCCAACCUGCUGAAUCAAAACAAAGGUUUAACUUGUGAGAUGAAUCCACACAUCACAAAGCAUUUUCACCCAUAGCUUAUAUCUAGUUUUUACUGAGGGUAAUUGGUUUUUCACUAAAGGCCUCAAUGGGCCCUGAAUUGUCCCUUUGUAGAUUCAAAGAGUUUCCAACCUGAUGAAGCAAAACAAAGGUUUAAAUUUGUAAAAUGAAUCUACACAUCACAAAGCAUUUUUACAGAUAGGUUGUUUCUAGUCUUUAUCAAGGGAUAUUCGAUUUUUCACUAUAGGCCUCAAUGGGCUAUGAAAUGUCUCCUUGUAGAUUCUACAAAAAAAGAGUUUCCAACCUGCAGAAUCAAAUGAAAAGUUCAACUUCUGAGAUAAAAUCACACAUCACAAAGUAUUUUCAGAGGUAGCUUCUUUACAGUUUUUAUCGCAGGAUAUUUGAUUUUUCUCUAUAGGCCUCAAUGAGCUCUGAAAUGUCCCUUCAUAGAUUCUACAACAAGAGUAUUUCCAACCUAAUCAAAACACAGGUAUAACUCUGUG